rnacentral:rRNA from 1 species
GACGAACGCGGCGGCGUGCUUAACACAUGCAAGUCGAACGAGAGCGUAGAGAAAGCUUGCUUUUUCUACAAUCUAGUGGCAAACGGGUGAGUAACGCGUAAACAACCUGCCCUACGGAUGGGGACAACAGCUGGAAACGGCUGCUAAUACCGAAUACGUUCCGAAAGUCGCAUGACUGUCGGAAGAAAGGAUCUCCUCUAUUUAUAAGCUAUCGCCGGAGGAGGGGUUUGCGUCUGAUUAGCUAGUUGGAGGGGUAACGGCCCACCAAGGCGACGAUCAGUAGCCGGUCUGGGAGGAUGAACGGCCACAUUGGAACUGAGACACGGUCCAGACUCCUACGGGAGGCAGCAGUGGGGAAUCUUCCGCAAUGGGCGAAAGCCUGACGGAGCAACGCCGCGUGAGUGAAGACGGCCUUCGGGUUGUAAAGCUCUGUUAUACGGGACGAAUAAUCUUGUGGUUAAUACCCAUGAGAAG